rnacentral:tRNA from 1 species
GGUCCCGUGCCUAAGCAGGAUAGAGCAUCAGAUUCCGAAUCUUGGAGUCGCGCGUUCGAAUCGCGCCGGGAUCACCA